rnacentral:antisense_RNA from 1 species
AGGCCCCUACACCUAACAAGAUUAAGUGAAUACCCAAAAUUGUGGUCAUUAUCUUUCUAUCUUUCCA